rnacentral:rRNA from 1 species
AGCGAACGCUGGCGGCAGGCUUAACACAUGCAAGUCGAGCGGGCACUUCGGUGUCAGCGGCAGACGGGUGAGUAACACGUGGGAACGUACCCUUUGGUUCGGAAUAACGCUGGGAAACUAGCGCUAAUACCGGAUACGCCCUUUUGGGGAAAGGCUUGCCGCCGAAGGAUCGGCCCGCGUCUGAUUAGCUAGUUGGUGGGGUAAUGGCCUACCAAGGCGACGAUCAGUAGCUGGUCUGAGAGGAUGAUCAGCCACACUGGGACUGAGACACGGCCCAGACUCCUACGGGAAGCAGCAGUGGGGAAUAUUGGACAAUGGGCGCAAGCCUGAUCCAGCCAUGCCGCGUGAGUGAUGAAGGCCUUAGGGUUGUAAAGCUCUUUUGUCCGGGACGAUAAUGACGGUACCGGAAGAAUAAGCCCCGGCUAACUUCGUG